rnacentral:lncRNA from 1 species
CGCUUGCAUUCCAGGUAUUUUCCCCAUUACAUAUAAUUUAAUCAUAUAAAAACUUUAAUAUUUCUUUUUACUUAUAUCUUAGUAUUGGAUAUAUGAAGUUUUUCCUCAAAUUGGACAACAAUUUGGUCAUCAUAUCCGUACAAGCUUAAAAUGUCCACGAAUGCAUAAAUGGCAGCCUCAAAUAGUAUUAACAGAAUAUGUUAUUAGACAAUUUUUUGCUGCUCAAGAGGUAUGUUUAUUUCAAUAUAUAUUUAAUUCUUUAUAAAUAAUUUUUAAAAAAUACAUCUGAUAUUUUAUUACAAUUAUAGAUUACAGUAAUUGCAACGCUAAAUCCUACUGAAGCAGAAUUGGAAACAUUUUGGUAUAAAAAUCUUUCGCUACCAAUUGACAACCAACAUCAUACACUAGACAACAUUGUCGAUGGUGAAUUGGACAAUGUAACACAACAAAUUCCAGCAGAUAACAUACAUACACAAGAAAGAACUAUCCACACUUCAGAUGGAAUUGAAUCUACUUCUUCUAGUAGCUCAAACUAUGUAACUAAACAAGACAUGGAAUAGAUGUUCAAUAUACACAGAUAAGAUGUCUUUGGUUUCUACGAUAGCUUAAAAACACAGAUGAUUCAAGAAUCAACAAAGCAAGAAGCUCAGUAUCAUACAAUUCUUGAAAAGCAAGAAGCUCUCCGUCAGACAAUUCUCGACAAUCAGAAAUAAUUUUUUGAACAUCAGCAAAAAGAUCAACAAGACUAUUUUGAGGGCAUACAAUCUAACAUGCAAUCUUAUGUGAAUACCAGUUUCGAUUUAACGAAGUCUUACAUUGAUGAACAAAAUCGAAAUAUGCAGAAUUAGUUAUCCGAUUGGAAAUCACACAUGGAAACAAUUGUAGCCUCUGUACAACGAGAUGUGCCUCCUCAUACAAGUCCAGUUGAAUUCGAAAUCCCUUCAACAUUUGAACAUACAAAAAACAUUGAAAGAUCGACGAAAGAAAAAAAGGUAAGUAGAAACAGACACAAUCUCCGUCAACAAUGCCAACUAAUAUUUUAAAAGACUAUAACAUCGACAGAUACAAAAACAUUAGAGAAUGGAUAUCGCAAAAUCCAUCAGAGUAAGAUAUUAAAUUUAACCUCUUUAACUUAAAUAUUCUAAUUUGUAUUUUACUUAUUUGAUAACAAGUUAAUUUUUUCUUAUACAGUGCAUAUUGGAAAGAUGAAAUCGGCAAUCUAUACGGAAGACAGUCGCUGAUAAAUAUAAUAAAUCAAACGAAAGUUAUAAAUAUUGUGGUAAGUCAACUUUAGUAAUCAUAAUUAAUUUUACUUCAUUAUUAAUAUAUCUAAUUUUCAUUUUUUUACUAGCAUAUUGAUAUAAAAUUAAUGCUGUUGAGAAGACUUAUUCACAAUGGAUCUUCCUCGCUUUCUAAAGAAUAUGCAAUCAUGGACUUAGAUUUGAGAAUGAAUGUGUUCGUUGGUAUUCAAUUAUAAAAAGAGGAGCUACCCAUUCUACAAGUAAUUUCAAUGCAUUACAACAGUACAUAAAAGGAGAAUUACCUAUAUUUUCUCGUCCGUGGAUAACAUACAACUAUUUAUUGAUUUCAUCUGCAUAUCCAGGCAACAUUUAGUUUCUUUUUCUUGUCAACUUUCAAAAGUGAAAAUUUCAUGUAUAUGAUUGCGCCACAACAUUCAUACACCAGACGUAAUUAAAUUACAUGUAGAACCAGUUUUGACUGUAGUACAAUCAUUAUUGAUAUCUACAGACAUUUUCUUCGACAAACCAAGUUUAAGAAAACAUAGAAAUAAACAUAUAAAAUUGGAAAUCAU